ACUGCUGAGUUAAAUUUAAAAAAUGCUUACACGGAGAGAUGCAAAGGAUUGGGUGGUGCAAAGAAUGAAAGAAAGACAAAAUUUCAUGAUAGAACACUCAGUGGUUUCUUCACAGCUGCCGUUCUUACCUGCAGGCAGACUUGCAGCUGUGCCUCCAGAGCCUUGAUCUUAUUUCUCAGCAGAUCUUCAUUGCAGCGAGCCUGUGUGGGUUCAAUUCUUUGGCUGUUGGUUUGGAGGUAGACGUUUGCUUCUUUGCAUGGUCUGUCUCUUGUUUCGACAGUGUAACCUCUUCUGACCACAAAGAUGCCUUGAAAAAAAGAGGACAGGAAAAUAUAUAUUUUUAUUCCCAGUGAAAAGUUGGAAUCUAGAUCAGGUGACCAAACACUAAGGGGAGAGCUCUAUUCCACUUACAGCCAGGGCAUCCAUGGCGGUAUGAGGGCUCAGCAAGCUUGACCCAGGAGCAGAAAGCUAAGACAUUACCAGAAUAUUGCAGGGAUGGACUGGAAAUGUGCUGUUAUAUACCCUGCAGUCAAAAGAACAAGUAGUUAGGAGGUGGCUUGAGUUGUGAAAAGUUGCUCUUCUGGCUUCUACGAUGCCUUAAAAAUGUAUCAGGAUAUGAAAUAUAACUAUUCACAUUGAUUGACUUCACAGAAAGAAAACAAUUGGGCUAAAAUCAUACCAAAUAGUGAUGCAUAU